UACGUAGGGUGCAAGCGUUGUCCGGAAUUAUUGGGCGUAAAGAGCUCGUAGGCGGUUAGUCGCGUCUGCUGUGAAAACUCGGGGCUUAACUCCGGGCCUGCAGUGGGUACGGGCAGACUAGAGUGUGGUAGGGGAGACUGGAAUUCCUGGUGUAGCGGUGAAAUGCGCAGAUAUCAGGAGGAACACCGAUGGCGAAGGCAGGUCUCUGGGCCACUACUGACGCUGAGAAGCGAAAGCAUGGGGAGCGAACAGG
rnacentral:rRNA from 1 species